GCUGCUCGUAAUAAUCACACACCUCUUCGUGGUGAGCAGCAGGCAACGAUCUUAUGUUCGGCUGAGAUGUGAUA
rnacentral:ribozyme from 1 species